rnacentral:lncRNA from 1 species
CUCAACUCUGCCAGCGCUUGGACAGAGUUAGGCCAGAAGGCUGGGGGCAACACACUGCCCCUUCCCCAUCCCUUCCUCUAGGCAUCCUGGAUUCCAAAACCAGCUGGGGGCACCCACUCAGGAAGUCCUCUCGGCAGAACAAUGGGCCAGCAUCUGACCGGGCUCCUAGAACUUUGGCCCCAUCAUCAACAGUUUCAUGAAGAAUGGGCAACUACAUACCAAUGUGAUUGGACAAAGGGUGUGAUCUGAUGCUCACACACUGAUCGGGACCCAGCAAGGCCUGUCCAGAUUUCUCUUGAC